rnacentral:rRNA from 1 species
ACGUUUAAGACUAAGACGUUGAUAGGCUGGGUGUGUAAGUGCAGCGAUGCAUUGAGCUAACCAGUACUAAUGACCCGUGAGGCUUAACCUU